rnacentral:ncRNA from 12 species
CCAGUCACGCCUCUCAACGAUGCGAACCCGACUGGU